CCAAAGGCUCUUUUGAGAGCCACCCACGUUUUCAGAAAAAGAGUUG
rfam:Monodelphis domestica chromosome 2, whole genome shotgun sequence.